AAUGGAAUUAGUUUCUUAGUGGCGGACGGGUGAGUAACGCGUGAGGAACCUGCCUCGGAGUGGGGAAUAACACAACGAAAGCUGUGCUAAUACCGCAUGAUGCAGCUGGGUCGCAUGACUCUGGCUGCCAAAGAUUUAUCGCUCUGAGAUGGCCUCGCGUCUGAUUAGCUGGUUGGCGGGGUAACGGCCCACCAAGCCGACGAUCGGUAGCCGACCUGAGAGGGUGAUCGGCCACAUUGGGACUGAGACACGGCCCAAACUCC
rnacentral:rRNA from 1 species